CGCAACCCAAGGUUACAGCCUUCAAAUGCUUCUGACACUGGCUCUGCGUUCCAACUGACGUAAUGGAAUUUGACAAUCUGCUCUCAGGGGCCGAAAAUCAUUAAAGAAGAAAAUUUCGGAAGACUUAAGGCAGAAGAACAUUCGGGCUGAAGUGAGUUGAAUACACGUGGGAUUUAGGAGCGAGGGAACUUUCAG